rnacentral:rRNA from 1 species
GAUGAACGCUAGCUACAGGCUUAACACAUGCAAGUCGAACGAGCGAGAGAGAGCUUGCUUUCUCGAGCGAGUGGCGAACGGGUGAGUAACGCGUGAGGAACCUGCCUCAAAGAGGGGGACAACAGUUGGAAACGACUGCUAAUACCGCAUAAGCCCACAGGUCGGCAUCGACCAGAGGGAAAAGGAGCAAUCCGCUUUGAGAUGGCCUCGCGUCCGAUUAGCUAGUUGGUGAGGUAACGGCCCACCAAGGCGACGAUCGGUAGCCGGACUGAGAGGUUGAACGGCCACAUUGGGACUGAGAUACGGCCCGGACUCCUACGGGAGGCAGCAGUGGGGAAUAUUGGGCAAUGGGCGCAAGCCUGACCCAGCAACGCCGCGUGAACGAUGACGGCCUCGGUUGUAAGUU